CUCUGGAGGUUUCCUGCUCACCUUGCUCUGCUGCUGUGGGGCUGCGCCCUGGCUGCUCUGUUUUGCUCAGCUCCUUUCCUGAUGGCCAGAGAUGCUGCCCACUGAGGCUUAUUCUUGUGCAGCUUGUCCUUAGUCUUCAGUUUGUUACCACGCAUGCUGCAAUGAGAUCCCAGAGAGCGAGCCGCCUUCUCGGGCCCAGAGAGCACCGCUGAAGAUUGCUGGUGGAAAUCCCUGACAGUUGUCUUCAGUAGAACUACUUCAUGCCUAUCCUUGAUGGAUGAAGAUUUAUGACUUGAUCUAUCUCUAAAUUAAUCACUUCCUUAGGCAGUUUCCUCACAAAAUGUAUCAGAAGAAUUUUACUCAAAGUGAAAGGGAGAGAAAAAUCUCAGGAGUUAUAAGAGAAGUAAUAAUUUAUUAUAUACUCUAAGUGAAAUCCAACAAAGGUCACUGCACUUAGAAGACUGAGGAGAAGUGGGGGGUUUGGUAUGGAAUAAAAUGCCAAGCUUUCCCUUAA